rnacentral:rRNA from 1 species
UACGUAGGGGGCGAGCGUUGUCCGGAUUUAUUGGGCGUAAAGAGCGUGUAGGCGGCCUGAAAGGUCAGCUGUGAAAACUCGAGGCUCAACCUCGAGACGUCGGUUGAAACCAUCUGGCUAGAGUCCGGAAGAGGAGUGUGGAAUUCCCGGUGUAGAGGUGAAAUUCGUAGAUAUCGGGAGGAACACCAGUGGCGAAGGCGGCGACCUGGGCCAAUAUUGACGCUGAGGUGCGAAAGCGUGGGGAGCAAACAGG